CUUUCUUCUCAAAAGAAACAAUGCAAAAAAAAGGGAAAAUAUCAUAUGGCAGUUAGCCAAAUAAGUCAAUCAUUACGCCUAUAAUAUUUAUAUUGUUAAUCAGUUAAUCAUCAUUGGAUCAUCCCUUCGAUCCUCUCUCUCACAAAUCAAUUCUAGAAAAGAUAAUAAAUACAACGGCAUAGAAGACGAGGAUGAGGACAGCAAGAAAUGGGAUUUGGAAAGGAAUAAAUCUCCUU
rnacentral:misc_RNA from 1 species